rnacentral:rRNA from 1 species
AUACGGAGGGUGCAAGCGUUAAUCGGAAUUACUGGGCGUAAAGAGCGCGUAGGCGGUUUGGUCAGUCGGAUGUGAAAGCCCCGGGCUUAACCUGGGAACUGCAUUCGAUACUGCCCGACUAGAGUAUGGUAGAGGGUAGUGGAAUUCCCGGUGUAGCGGUGAAAUGCGUAGAUAUCGGGAGGAACAUCAGUGGCGAAGGCGGCUACCUGGACCAACACUGACACUGAGGUACGAAAGCGUGGGGAGCAAACAGGAUUAGAAACCCCGGUAGUCC